GACCACCUUGUAUGAGUAAGGACCACAUUAUCCAGGAAUGGUUUAAUUAAGACAAAGACUGAAUCAAACAGUACGGGCUCAUUGAUCAUGUGAAUACCUCGGACCUUCAAUGGAAAGGAAUCCUGAAAAUAACAGAAAAUGAUACACAUUAUAUUUCAUGUUGGUGCCUGCUUAGAUUUAAAUCAAAUGCUAUCUUGUGAAUGUAUAAGUUUGUACAUAGCCAUAAGUGUUCUAUCAACAUUUGUUCAGAAACACAUGAUUUAAUUAAAGCUAAUAGGAACUGGA